GCUGGAGUGGCGUAAUUGGCAGUCGCGCCGGUCUUAGAAACCGGUGCCCGUUCGGGCGUGAGAGUUCGAUUCUCUCCUCCAGCACCA
rnacentral:tRNA from 1 species